rnacentral:rRNA from 1 species
CAGCAGCCGCGGUAAUACGUAGGUGGCAAGCGUUGUCCGGAAUUAUUGGGCGUAAAGGGCACGCAGGCGGUCUCUUAAGUCUGAUGUGAAAGCCCCCGGCUCAACCGGGGCGGGUCAUUGGAAACUGGGAAACUUGAGUGCAGAAGAGGAGAGUGGAAUUCCACGUGUAGCGGUGAAAUGCGUAGAGAUGUGGAGGAACACCAGUGGCGAAGGCGACUCUCUGGUCUGUAACUGACGCUGAGGAGCGAAAGCGUGGGGAGCGAACAGGAUUAGAUACCCCCGUAGUCCCUGUCUCUUAUAA